GGUUCGGUGGUGUAGUGGUUAUCACGUCUGUCUCACAUUAUGAACGGCACAGGAGGUCCCCGGUUCGAGACCGGGCCGAAUCA
rnacentral:tRNA from 1 species